rnacentral:rRNA from 1 species
GACGAACCGUGCGAAUGUUGUUCGGAAUCACUGGGCUUAAAGGGCGCGUAAGCGGGCUGUCAAGUCUGGGGUGAAAUGCCGCGGCUCAACCGUGGAACUGCCUUAGAUACUGACGGCCUCGAGGAAGGUAGGGGCAUGCGGAACUGUAGGUGGAGCGGUGAAAUGCGUUGAUAUCUACAGGAACUCCGGUGGCGAAAGCGGCGUGCUGGACCUUUUCUGACGCUGAGGCGCGAAAGCUAGGGGAGCAAACGGG